AGUGGGGAAUGAAAGGGAGGGGGCUAGGCCCCCCAUCUUGCCCCAGGGGAAGGGCUAGGCCCUCCAUCUUGCCCCAGGGUAAGGGCUACGCCCUCCAUCUUACCUUGGCCAUGUGCUUGGCAAGG